GUGGGAGACAGGCCGGAUCAUCUGCAGCCAGGGGACCUCACUCACCUGAGCAGCUGCUGAGGCUUUGCUGCACCCCCAACUUCAGAAAGAGCAUCCACGGCAAAGCUCCCGGUCAGGCCAGUGGGGUAGGGAUGAGCCCUAAGACCACAACCAUGAAAGGCAGAACGAAAUGUGAGAGAGCCACCCUAUCACACAGCCAUGGAGCCAGCGAGUGUGUAACACCAGAGAUGGGGAAAGUGCAAGCUAGGAUCAUGCAGCUGAGUCUGAGACUGGCAGCCCCAUGGUCGCGUGGGAAAUGGUAAUUGGACCACACUGAAGGGCUCAUGUUUGAUUUCUUGCUGGAAGUCUGGCGAGGAUGAAGGGAAAUCUCUUUUAACCUCUCAUCUGAGUGCUGAGGAGCUUUGUGGCUUGAAAAAGCAUGAGUCAGUUUGGGUGAGUAAAGUAAUGCAGAUAGAAGCAGGAGCAGAUAAGCCACCACAAGCCCUUUUAUUCAAACACCAUUUCACUUUGAUGUAGGUAUUUUCUGCCUCUCAGUGCACUAGAAUGUGCAUUUUAUUGCUCUUCAUAGAUCAGCAGGAGCCAAAAGCCCAACUGCCAAGGGA